rnacentral:rRNA from 1 species
UAGUCCACGCCGUAAACGAUGAUAACUAGCUGGUCCGGGCUCAUAGAGUUUGGGUGGCGCAGCUAACGCAUUAAGUUAUCCGCCUGGGGAGUACGGUCGCAAGAUUAAAACUCAAAGGAAUUGACGGGGGCCUGCACAAGCGGUGGAGCAUGUGGUUUAAUUCGAAGCAACGCGCAGAACCUUACCAGCCCUUGACAUACCGGUCGCGGAUUUCAGAGAUGAUUUCCUUCAGCUUGGCUGGACCGUGUACAGGUGCUGCACGGCUGUCGUCAGCUCGUGUCGUGAGAUGUUGGGUUAAGUCCCGCAACGAGCGCAACCCUCAUCCUUAGUUGCCAGCAUUUAGUUGGGCACUCUAAGGAAACUGCCGGUGAUAAGCCGGAGGAAGGUGGGGAUGACGUCAAGUCCUCAUGGCCCUUACAAGCUGGGCUACACACGUGCUACAAUGGCGAAUGACAGUGAACAGCUAACCCGCGAGGGCAAGCCUAAUCUCUAAAAGUCGUACUC